rnacentral:rRNA from 1 species
GAUGAACGCUAGCGGCAGGCCUAAUACAUGCAAGUCGGACGGGAUUCAGGAGCUUGCUUCUGAUGAGAGUGGCGCACGGGUGCGUAACACGUAUGUAACCUACCUUUAUCAGGGGGAUAGCCUCUCGAAAGAGAGAUUAAGCCCGCAUAAAAUCACAGCACAGCAUUGUGUACUGAUCAAAUAUUUAUAGGAUAAAGAUGGGCAUGCGGAACAUUAGCUAGAUGGCGGGGUAACGGCCCACCAUGGCGACGAUGUUUAGGGGAUCUGAGAGGAUGGCACCCCACACUGGUACUAAGGCACGGACCAGAAUCCUACGGAAGGCAGCAGUAAAGAGUAUUGGUCAAUGAGCGGAAGCCUGGACCAGCCAUGCCGCGUGCAGGAAGACGGCCCUACGGGUUGUAAACUGCUUUUAUACGGGAAUAAACCCAGAUACGUGUAUCUGGCUGAAUGUACUGUAAGAAUAAGGAUCGGCUAACUCCGUG